ACGAAAGUCUGAUGGAGCAAUACCACGUGAACGAUGAAGGUCUUCUGAUUGUAAAGUUCUUUUAUUUAGGAAAAAAAGCGCGCUAGGAAAUGAGCGCGCCUUGAUGGUACUAAUUGAAUAAGUGACAGCUAACUAUGUGCCAGCAGCUGCGGUAAAACAUAGGUCACGAGCAUUAUCCGGAUUUAUUGGGCGUAAAGGAAGCGUAGGCGGGGAGGUUGAUCCAUUGUUAAAAGCAUUUGCU
rnacentral:rRNA from 1 species